UUUUGCAUUCCUGUUGAAUAAUGUCUUUCCUUCGUAGUAGAAACAUUUGGUAAUUUAAAGGCUCUUUUCUGCAGUCUUUAUUUUCAGUUGUAUAUUGAAAAAUACCUAUAAUGUUUUAUAAUCAUUAAACACCAAUGUUCUGAGUGAGAUUUUUACUACAGAAAAAAUAUUGUGGAUCCUUGAGUGCAUCUAUUUGAAGAUCCAAAUUUGUGUCUGCACUUGUGUAUCUUCACUUUCCAUUUGAAACUACAUUGUGUAAAAAUAUUCUUUCUGGUUUUUUUAUUUUCCAUCAAAAAUCAUUUUCUGCAAAGCAAAGAAGGCAUCUAUUCAAAUCUGAUGAAACUACCUACCAGUAGGUUCUGUUGUAGUAAGAGGUAUGUAGUAUGAAUAAGAUUUGGAUUUUGAAUUGCACUUGAAGUUUAGAAGAAAACAAAACAAUUUAAAUUUUGUUACUUCUCAUUUGUGGCUUAGUGGAACCUCUGACCAAGUAGAAAUCAAAAGGGAAGAAAAAGGAGUAAAAAAAAAAAAGAAUCAGAUGUAUAAUUUUGUUUUAUGAAUCCUGUACAAUUAAGUCCCCUGUGCUUAUGUUUUCAUCUCUCCUCUUCUAAACUUCUUCAGAGGUUUGCCACUGUACAUUACUGCAUUGAAAUGGAUCGAGCUAUGGAAUUCUAUCCAUCAGUUGGUUCCUUUGGAGGCAGUUACAAUAGAACAGAUGAGAAAGGAACAACAUCAACAAAACUGAUGGUUUUGAAGGAGCAGAAAUCAGCUGUAGCCCUCCAUCUAUACACAGAAAGAGCAGACGCCACAUGAACAAGAAACAUGCUUCCAGACAUUAAACAUUCAAAUAAGAAAGUUUACCCUCCACUCCAGACCCCCUUGUUAGUGUGCCCAACAGAUUCAAAUUUGUCAGAUUAGUCCUAUCUCUAAACAACCCAGUUCUAAUCUUCAGGAGCUAAAACGGUGGUAGGAUUCUUCCAAGAAACUACUGCCUGGUCUUGGACAGCAAAACCUAACUGGCCUGUGAGAGUACUUAUGUCUGGACUCUAAAUACCUUUAAGUGCUCUUAAAAAAAGAACUGGAGUGAAAUAUUCAAUAACUAAAUUCAGUGGCAAAUUUCUCAGCCAACUGAGGGGUCUGGAUUUUCCAUUUUUUGCAUGGUGGGAGUUUGAGCAACAUGCUGGUAUGUGUACCUGUGUCAUUAUUUUGAGUAGUUGCAUUUUUUUUUUCUAUAGUUUAAAACCACUGUUUGACAGGAAUGGUAGUGAUUGGAGAAGUUCUAUGGACUCUCAAUACUUUGAGACAUUAAUGAAAUAGUUUUCUAGGAUGAGAGACUAUCAUAAGCACUUGCGGAAAGAAAAAAAAGACUUUUGUCUCCAUUAAGAAUUUAUGGAAUUCUGUAAGGUAAUAGAAACUUAUUCCUUGGUAUCCUACUUCAGUUUGGAGAAAAGUCUCAUGCUUUGUCACAACACUUUUCAUCUGAAUAGAAACAAACUGGGAAAUAAACUCUUAAGGAAAAAAUGUGUUAUCUGAGUA
rnacentral:lncRNA from 1 species